rnacentral:rRNA from 1 species
AAUGAACGUUGGCGGCGUGGAUUAGGCAUGCAAGUCGCGCGAUAAAUUGCCUUCGGGCGAUGGAAAGCGGCGAAAGGGAGAGUAACACGCGGGUACCUACCCUCAGGACCGGGAUAGCUGCGGGAAACUGCAAUUAAUACCGGAUGAUGUCUCCGGACCAAAGGUGUGAUUCCGCCGGAGGAGGGGCCCACGUCCUAUCAGCUAGUUGGCGAGGUAAUAGCUCACCAAGGCUACGACGGGUACGGGGUGUGAGAGCAUGCCCUCGCUCACUGGGACUGAGACACUGCCCAGAAACCUACGGGUGGCUGCAGUCGAGAAUCUUCCGGAAUGGGCGAAAGCCUGACGGAGCGACGCCGCGUGCGAGAUGAAGGCCUUCGGGUUGUAAACCGCUGUCAGUGGGGAGGAAAUGCACGGGGGUUCUCCCUUGUGUUUGACCGAUCCGCAGAGGAAGCACAGGCUAAGUUCGUGCCAGCAGCCGCGGUAA